rnacentral:rRNA from 1 species
AUUGAACGCUGGCGGCAGGCCUAACACAUGCAAGUCGAGCGGAUGAAGGGAGCUUGCUCCUGGAUUCAGCGGCGGACGGGUGAGUAAUGCCUAGGAAUCUGCCUGGUAGUGGGGGAUAACGUCCGGAAACGGGCGCUAAUACCGCAUACGUCCUGAGGGAGAAAGUGGGGGAUCUUCGGACCUCACGCUAUCAGAUGAGCCUAGGUCGGAUUAGCUAGUUGGUGGGGUAAAGGCCUACCAAGGCGACGAUCCGUAACUGGUCUGAGAGGAUGAUCAGUCACACCGGAACUGAGACACGGUCCAGACUCCUACGGGAGGCAGCAGUGGGGAAUAUUGGACAAAGGGCGAAAGCCUGAUCCAGCCAUGCCGCGUGUGUGAAGAAGGUCUUCGGAUUGUAAAGCACUUUAAGUUGGGAGGAAGGGCAGUAAGUUAAUACCUUGCUGUUUUGACGUCACCAACAGAAUAAGCACCGGCUAACUUCGUG